CCGGUGGCGGAUGGGCAUGCGGCGCAUUAGCUAGUCGGCGGGGUAACGGCCCACCGAGGCGACGAUGCGUAGGGGUUCUGAGAGGAAGGUCCCCCACACUGGUACUGAGACACGGACCAGACUCCUACGGGAGGCAGCAGUGAGGAAUAUUGGUCAAUGGGCGCGAGCCUGAACCAGCCAAGUCGCGUGAGGGAUGACGGUCCUACGGAUUGUAAACCUCUUUUGCCGGGGAGCAAGCGUGCGUUCGUGAACGCGCGUCGAGAGUACCCGGAGAAAAAGCAUCGGCUAACUCCGUGCCAGCAGCCGCGGUAAUACGGAGGAUGCGAGCGUUAUCCGGAUUUAUUGGGUUUAAAGGGUGCGUAGGCGGGAUGCCAAGUCAGCGGUAAAAAUGCGGUGCUCAACGCCGUCGAGCCGUUGAAACUGGCGUUCUUGAGUGGGCGAGAAGUAUGCGGAAUGCGUGGUGUAGCGGUGAAAUGCAUAGAUAUCACGCAGAACUCCGAUUGCGAAGGCAGCAUACCGGCGCCCUACUGACGCUGAGGCACGAAAGCGUGGGUAUCGAACAGGAUUAGAUACCCUGGUAGUCCACGCAGUAAACGAUGAAUGCUAACUGUCCGG
rnacentral:rRNA from 1 species